AGCGAACGCUGGCGGCAGGCCUAACACAUGCAAGUCGAACGAACCUUUCGGGGUUAGUGGCGGACGGGUGCGUAACACGUGGGAACGUGCCUUUAGGUUCGGAAUAACUCAGGGAAACUUGUGCUAAUACCGAAUGUGCCCUUCGGGGGAAAGAUUAAUCGCCUUUAGAGCGGCCCGCGUCUGAUUAGCUAGUUGGUUGAGGUAAUGGCUCACCAAGGCGACGAUCAGUAGCUGGUCUGAGAGGAUGAUCAGCCACAUUGGGACUGAGACACGGCCCAAACUCCUACGGGAGGCAGCAGUGGGGAAUCUUGCGCAAUGAGCGAAAGCCUGACGCAGCCAUGCCGCGUGAAUGAUGAAGGUCUUAGGAUUGUAAAAUUCUUUCACCGGGGACGAUAAUGACGGUACCCGGAGAAGAAGCCCCGGCUAACUUCGU
rnacentral:rRNA from 1 species